ensembl:snoRNA
GGGGCGGUGAUGAUUCCAACAUGCCAUCUGAGUGCCCAUGCUGAAACCCAGAGGCUGUUUCUGAGCUG